UUGUUUGGUGGCUGAGAUUAAGCGAUAGACUGUAGAUCUAUUCACGGAAUUAAAUUUUCCCAACAAA
rnacentral:tRNA from 1 species